rnacentral:lncRNA from 1 species
UCCACCCGGAGUUGGAGCCAUGCCAAACAGGGCCUUAGUCCCGGGUCAAAAAUCAGCCACCCGUGGGGACCCUUUAUCCCGGGUGAAAAAAUCAGUGACGGUGAACUUCCCAUUUUCCAACCAGGAAUUAUGCAAACUCAAUAGUAAGUGAACUUUUUUCCGAUGGAUAUAAGUCCAAGUAAAAAAUUUCAGUGAUGGUGUUAAUUGAUCGAUAUUUUUACAGUCCAUCAAAAGAUACCCUCGGGCUUGAAGUUUAGCACUAGGUACGCAAAAAUGGUUCCUCACUCCGAUAUCAAAAUUUUGAUACCUCCCAUGUUAUAAUUAGAAUCUAGUAUGUGCCAUGGCUAACCAAACAUCCUCUACUGUUCAUAGUUUCUUUCAUCCCCCA